rnacentral:rRNA from 1 species
CCUACGGGAGGCUGCAGUGGGGAAUAUUGGACAAUGGGGGCAACCCUGAUCCAGCCAUGCCGCGUGUGUGAAGAAGGCCCUCGGGUUGUAAAGCACUUUCAGUGAGGAAGAACGCCUGGUGGUUAAUACCCAUCAGGAAAGACAUCACUCACAGAAGAAGCACCGGCUAACUCCGUGCCAGCAGCCGCGGUAAUACGGAGGGUGCGAGCGUUAAUCGGAAUUACUGGGCGUAAAGCGCGCGUAGGUGGCUUGAUAAGCCGGUUGUGAAAGCCCCGGGCUCAACCUGGGAACGGCAUCCGGAACUGUCAAGCUAGAGUGCAGGAGAGGAAGGUAGAAUUCCCGGUGUAGCGGUGAAAUGCGUAGAGAUCGGGAGGAAUACCAGUGGCGAAGGCGGCCUUCUGGACUGACACUGACACUGAGGUGCGAAAGCAUGGGUAGCAAACAGGAUUAGAUACCCCGGUAGUC